rnacentral:piRNA from 1 species
UGAGCCAAAGGAAGCUAGGUGCAGUGUC